UACGUAGGGGGCAAGCGUUGUCCGGAAUUAUUGGGCGUAAAGAGCGUGUAGGCGGCCAGAUAAGUCCGCUGUGAAAUCUCGAGGCUCAACUUCGAGCUGUCGGUGGAAACUAUCUGGCUAGAGUCCGGAAGAGGAGAAUGGAAUUCCUGGUGUAGCGGUGAAAUGCGCAGAUAUCAGGAAGAACACCCGUGGCGAAGGCGGUUCUUUGGGACGGUACUGACGCUGAGACGCGAAAGCGUGGGGAGCAAACAGG
rnacentral:rRNA from 1 species